rnacentral:lncRNA from 1 species
GCAAUCCAACCGGGCCAGACUGCAGGCAGCUCCUCCUCACAUUAUUUAACACUGAGGAGUGCAGGAGAGUAACAUAGGCAGCUCUCUGCUGGCUAGAAGCCAAUGCACCAGAAGAUGCAGUGAAUGCUCAGUUGCAGCUGUUGUGUCUUGGAUCCACCACAGUUGGCUGAAACCGGCAGCUCAGGACAAGUGAACCAGCCAGCAGGACCCAGACCAUUUGACUCGGCUGAUCUUGUGACAAGACUGAGUUGCUGCUGAGUACAACAGCCCUGCUCUGGUCACUCCAGAGGCUGACCAGUCUACACACGGGUGAAGCUUGAGGAAACAACAAGCUCUGCUCUAGUCACACACCAGAAGCUGACUAGUCUAUGCACAGCUGAAGCUUGAGGACUUGUCAAGCAAGUAAAUGUAGUUAGAAAUCUUAGGACUAGUAGUUUUCCUGUAAUACUGUUUUACUAUUGUUCCGUCGCUGUGCUCAAUCUUCUUCCCCAGGUAAGGACCUCUUUUGUCCUUGCUGGAUAUGAAUAUGCUGUACAUUGCUUUGCUGUUGUUACCCCCCUUAACCAUGCUAGAAGAAUCACCCACAGAAGGGUGUCUCCACCGUACACAUACUACUUGGUCAGGGAACAGCAUAACUAAAACUCUAUUGUACCAUACUUAUUAUGGGUGUAUGGGGAAUCGCUUAGGAACUUGUACUUAUAGUCAAACCACCUACUCAGUUUGUGACCCAGGAAAUAACCAACUUUAUGUAUGUUAUGACCCCAAGUUUUCACCUGGUGAAUGGUUUGAAAUUCGUGCAGUCAAAAGAAGGUCUCCUCUUAAACCAAACCAGGGUCCCUCCCUUUUACUGAGGGACUAUUUCUCUGUAUUUUGAUGCUCGUUAGGUAGCAUACCAAGACUCACCCAUCUGUGGUAACCUACCUUUGGAAAGAUACUAUAGAAAUAACUACAAAUAUGUAUGCACGCCAAGAGCAACUCCACAUUGUUCCCCUGGGACCCCAGAGAAAGAUUGUUGGUAUUGCAUAUCAUGGCACCCUAGCCACAACAAAGGUCAAUUAUGCUUACCAAAAUGCUGGUGGACUGCAGGUUCCUCCUUACAUGUCUACAUACACACAUACCCAGCAACCUUCAUAUAUGUUAUCAAAAAGGGAACCCAGACCCGUCUGGCCCAGCAAGGCACAAAAAUGAGGAACGCUAUCUAUCAGAACAGAUUAGCUUUAGACUAUCUCCUAGCCCUAGAAGGAGUAGUAUGUGGAAAGUUCAAUUUAACAAAUUGCUGCCUGGAAAUCGAUGACAAUGGAAAGGCAAUUAUGGAAAUAACUGCAAGAAUGAGAAAAUUAGCCCAUGUUCCAGUUCAAACUUGGAAAGGGUGGUCUCCAGAUUCUCUCUUUGGAGGCUUGGUUUUUAUUUUUCUGAGGGUUCAAGACUUUAAUAGGAGUGGUUCUGGCCAUAUUAGGAAGUUGCCUAAUACUCCCUUGUCUCUUACCUCUCCUUGUUAGAAGCAUUCAAUCGAGUAUAGAGGCAAUAGUAGCUAGGCAAACUACCACUCAGCUAAUGGCUCUGCAUAAAUAUCAACCUUUGUCUAAAUAAGAAAACUCGUCCCUUCAGGCAGAACUAAGUAAUAGUGAUGCCUUCUAUUAAACUUCUUUUAUAAAAGGCAUCAAAGGGGGGAAACUGAGGCAGAAAUUUAAAAAUAAAUAUGCAUUCAUUCACUCCAAGAAAAGUAACAGAAAAGGCAAGGGUUAAAAAGAAAAGAACAAGUUUUCCUCUGCCUAGCAGAGGAAAGUGCAGCAAGCUCACUUCAAGGACAGUAAUAAGAUAAUACUGUUUGAGAAACCAAGGCCAAAGGAAUGGACUCCAGAUACCCCCCAACACCAGAGCAAGGUUGAAGGAAAAAAAAGAAAGACAAAUUCUUUUACUGUUACUCCUUUCCCAGUCUUCUUAAGCAUGAUUAUGUUUUACAAAUGUCUGUAUUUAGCCGGUUGUUGUUUUUCUUUCAAUGCAGCUACAAGGCCACCACCUAUGCAAGGCCACAAGUUAUGCUAUGCUAUAGAUUAUAUGACCUAUCAUUUGGUUAACUGCUUUUGUUUUAUUUAUUGUAAGUCCACUUAUAAAAACCCGAUUCUGUCUUUGUUUAAUGCUCAGCUUUGUGGAUGUGAGUCCGCUGAGCCAGUGUGUACCUAAAAUAAACAAUCCUCCUAUACUCUCA